CUGAAGAGCCAUCAUUGAGGAGGAGAGCACACGGGAUGAGGUCAGGGGAGGAAGGCGAGAUCACGCAGGUCUCGGAGACCAGGCCAGGAACUGGAUUUAUGACACUACAAUGAUGGCUAAUGUGCCAAUAUCCAUAGGAACCUGUAUCCAGGAUCACUGUACCUGUGAAUAAAGUGCAGCUGCUCCAAGUAGACACAGCCUUUUGAAAUAUCUACACACAGGUCUAUAAGGUCAGCCAAGCAGGAUCGGCAUCCCCUGGGAACUUGUAAAGACAAAUUCUCAACCACAUUCCAGGACCUACUGAAUCAGGAACUUGAGCCUCUGUGCUAUGUCAAGCCUUGCCCAAAGCAAGCCGUAACUUUGGACUCUUCAGCCAUAUGUCAAUGAAUUUCAUGGUUGUUGAAAUCAGUUGUUCUCAAGCAUUGCUGCACAUUAGAAUCACCUGUGCAGUUCUUUAAACAUCUCGAUUUCCAGGUUGCAUCCUCUUAAAGUGUGGUCUCUGGAGAUGAAGCCCAGUCCCCUGGAUGUUCUCUGACUCCCCAGAAAAUUCCAAUGUGUCACCAACUUUGAGAACCAAUGGUUUAAACCAUUUUAAAUUAUAUCUUCUGUUCAUUAUAACCAAAACAUCCUGACACAUUUUAAAAAUAUAAUACAGGGUUUUUAUGUUUUAUAACUGGUAGAGUCACCUAUAUAUAAAGUCCUAUUUCUAGCUGACAUCUGAAAACCUCUCACUACUCUUUCUUUGACUUCUUGUUACCAUCCUGUCUUAAUUUUAUGUCCAACUGUCUAGGUAAGGCCUGAGGAAAGACUGCUUCUCCUAUGAAAUAGACUGUGUGAGAUAGAAGUUACAAUCCAAGAGAUCUUUUUUGCUUUCUUUGGCUUUAUGGGCAUUUUUCAAAUAAGCUGAGAUUGCCAGGAGUCUGACCUCAGAGUAGUGCAUUCUCUCUAUAGCAGGCCUGGAGACUGAGAGCUAUCAGAUAGGAUUAAAGUUGAUGACUAUAUUUUUAGCAAGACACAGUAGCAUAUAAACAAAAAUGAUGAGCCAGUGAAAAGUGUAAAAGGAAUGCAAUAAUGUAUCCUAGAACUAAAAAUACUUUCUACAUUACCCAAGGCCUACUACAAAGACAUAAUCUUCAGGCGUAUGAGAGUAAGAACCUUCUAUGUUCUUAUAUAUCACAGAUUUCUGUUUAAAAAACAAAAACAAAAAAAACAAACAAAAAAACUCAACCUACUCUUUUUCCAAAAGCUAAAAAACGAUUCUAGCAACUCCUAACCUUCUGGCACUUGAAUCGUGUCCAUGCUUCAUGCUAAAAAUGAUUUUUAAAAAAUAUCUUUAUUGAUUUCAGAGACUAAAGAAGAGGGAGAGAGAGAGACAGAAAUAUUGAUUUGAGAGAAUCAUCGAUUGGCUGCUUUCUGCACACUCCACACUGGGGAUCAAGCCUACAACCCAGGCAUGUGCCCUGACUGGGAACUGAACCAUGAUCUCCUGGUUCAUAUGUCAAUGCUCAAUCACUGAGCCACACUGGCCAGGCUAAAAGAGAUUAUUGAUUACUUUUUUCAGUUAAAAUGAAAUCGGGUUAAUCUUGCUUGGUUAUUUAUAAUGAGAUGCACUACAGUUUUCUAAAUAACAAGUUAACUGUAUUUUAUCUCUUUUUAAAUUUAGUUUUUAUUAAAGUAUGGUUGACAUACAAUAUUAUAUUCAUUUCAGGUGUACAACAUGGUAACCUGACAUUUAUUUAUAUACCUUAUGAUGUGAUCACAAUAAGUCUAGUAACCAUCUGUUAGCAUACAAAGCUAUUAUGGCAUUAUUUCCCUAUACUGUACAUUAUUAUCUCUUUGUGACUUUUAUUCUAUAACUAGAAGUUUGUGCCUCUUAUUUCCCUUCACUCUUUUCCACCCAUCUUCCCACCUCUAUCUCCUCUGGCAACCAUCAAGAUAAGGCAAACUACCAAAAAUUUCCAUCUUAUAUUUAAAAAAUUUAAAUCAAUUAUGACAAUCAAAUGAAAGAGAAAUUUUGCUUAUACCAAAAUCUUACUGUAACAGUAUUUCCUUUCAGAUUCUACCUUAACUAUACACAAUAAGCAGACAGUAUAAUCAUAACUAUACAAUAGCACUACUCAGAAUUAUUAAAUAAUCAGCUCUUAUUUUUAUUUUGUCACCUUUU